rnacentral:lncRNA from 1 species
CUUUCAAUGCAUGCAAAAGGUAAUACAAUCCUAAUAGCUUCUAUUCUAGCUAUAAAAGCAAAGGUCUCAUCAAAAUCAAGUUCUUCCUCUUGUUGUAUCCUUUUGUCACUAGUCUAGCUUUAUUUCUAGUUAUUAUCUCAUUUUCGUCCAUUUUAUCCCUAAAUACUCAUUUAGUGUCAAUAAUGGUUCUAUCAUUCGAUCGAGGCACUAAGUUUCACAUCGUAUUUCUUCUGACAUGGCAUUUAUUUAAUUUUCAUCUUUCUUGACUUAUUCAAAAAUUUAGGCUUUAUUUGGGAUAAAAAG